rnacentral:rRNA from 1 species
GAGCAUGGGAGGGACGUAUAAUGCAGUCGAGCGAAUUGACAGAGGUGCUUGCACCUCUCGAUUUUAGCGGCGGACGGGUGAGUAACACGUGGGUAACCUACCUAUAAGACUGGGAUAACUUCGGGAAACCGGACCUAAUACCGGAUAAUAUUUAGCUUCGCAUGACGCAAUAGUGAAAGACGGUUCUGCUGUCACUUAUAGAUGGACCUGCGGUGUAUUAGCUAGUUGGUGAGGUAACGGCUCACCAAGGCGACGAUACAUAGCCGACCUGAGAGGGUGAUCGGCCACACUGGGACUGACACACGGCCCAGACUCCUACGGGAGGCAGCAGUAGGGAAUCUUCCGCAAUGGACGAAAGUCUGACGGAGCAACGCCGCGUGAGUGAAGAAGGUUUUCGGAUCGUAAAACUCUGUUGUAAGGGAAGAACAAGUACGUUAGUAACUGAACGUACCUUGACGGUACCUUACCAGAAAGCCACGGCUAACUACGUGCCAGCAGCCGCGGUAAUACGUAGGUGGCAAGCGUUAUCCGGAAUUAUUGGGCGUAAAGCGCGCGUAGGCGGUCUCUUAAGUCUGAUGUGAAAGCCCCCGGCUCAACCGGGAGGGUCAUUGGAAACUGGGAGACUUGAGUACAGAAGAGGAGAGUGGAAUUCCAUGUGUAGCGGUGAAAUGCGCAGAGAUAUGGAGGAACACCAGUGGCGAACGCAGCUCUCUGGUCUGUAACUGACGCUGAGUGCGAAAGCGUGUGGAUCAAACAGGAUUACAUACCCUGAUAGUCCACGCCGUAAACGAUGAGUGCUAAGUGUUGUGGGUUUCCGCCCUCAGUGCUGCAGCUAACGCAUGAAGCACUCCGCCUGAGGAGUACGUCGCAGAAUUGAAACUCAGAAUAUUUUGGGGG